rnacentral:misc_RNA from 1 species
CCACCACUAGUUAACUUACAGGAAGACAUCCAAAGGAAUCUCAUGUUGUAAUAGUGAUGCCGACCAGAAAGCAAGGCUGCAUCCCCAAAUGGACUAUCCCUAAUCUCAAGCUUCUGCAAUCUGGGGCAGCCCUCAAGCACAUACUUCAGCGCCAUGUCACUAUCCCCGGCAAAAGCAACAGACAGGGUCCUUACUGUUUUUCC